CAAACCAAAGCUGGCGACCGGCGCACGGGUGAGUAACACGUAUCCAACCUGCCUCAUACUCGGGGAUAGCCUUUCGAAAGAAAGAUUAAUAUCCGAUAGCAUAUAUUUCCCGCAUGGGUUUUAUAUUAAAGAAAUUCGGUUAUAGAUGGGGAUGCGUUCCAUUAGUUUGUUGGGGGGGUAACGGCCCACCAAGACUACGAUGGAUAGGGGUUCUGAGAGGAAGGUCCCCCACAUUGGAACUGAGACACGGUCCAA
rnacentral:rRNA from 1 species